CCUACGGGUGGCAGCAGUGGGGACUAUUGCACAAUGGGGGAAACCCUGAUGCAGCGACGCCGCGUGCAGGAAGAAGUAUUUCGGUAUGUAAACUUCUAUCAGCAGGGAAGAAAAUGAUGGUGCAUGACUAAGAAGCACUGUCUAACUACGUGACAGCAGCCGCGGUACUACGUAGGGGGCAAGCGUUAUCCGGAUUUACUGGGUUUAAAGGGAGCGUAGGCGGUUUAGCAAGUCAGUAGUGAAAGCCCGGGGUUCAACCCCGGGAUUGCUUUUGAAACUGUGAAACGAGAUUGCAGGAGAGGUGAGGGGAAAUCCUAGUGUAGGGGGGAAAUGCGGAGAUAGUAGGAGGAAAUCCAGGGGCGAAGGCGGGUUACUGGACUGUAAAUGAAGCUGAGGCUCGAAAGCGUGGGGAUCAAACAGGAUUAGAUACCCGGGUAGUC
rnacentral:rRNA from 1 species